CCCUUAGAUGUUCUGGGCCGCACGCGCGCUACACUGAUGAACGCAACGAGACCACCUGUACCGAAAGGCAUGGGUAAACUUGUGAAAGUUCAUCGUGAUGGGGAUAGAUUAUUGCAAUUAUUAAUCUUCAACGAGGAAUGCCUAGUAAGCGUGAUUCAUCAAAUCGCGUUGAUUACGUCCCUGCCCUUUGUACACACCGCCCGUCGCUCCUACCGAUUGAAUGUGUUGGUGAGGAGCUCGGAUUGGCAGCAGUUGGUGGUUCGCCACCGGCUAUUGCUGAGAAGUCCUCCAAACCGCCCCAUUUAGAGGAAGGAGAAGUCGUAACA
rnacentral:rRNA from 1 species